AAGACCAUUGUGGUCUUAGAGUAUUUCAUUGAGUCGGAGAGUCUUGUAGAUUAGGAACUCUCAUGGAAACUUGUUUAAUUUGAUUAGGAACUCUUAGAUUAAAAUCAUGUAAAAUUUGAUUUUUCAAAAACUGAUGCCCAAGUAAUCGAUUAACACCAAGUGUUUAAUCGAUUAAACAUGGUAAAAAGUGAUUUUCAGGCAGCAGAACGGUUUUAACUUUUUAGGACUCAUGCAUGCAUUUUAACGGAUUAAUCGAAACAUUUGUAAUCACGA
rnacentral:lncRNA from 1 species